GAUGAACGCUGGCGGUAUGCUUAACACAUGCAAGUCGAACGGUACCUUCGGGUAUAGUGGCGGACGGGUGAGUAACGCGUGAGAAUCUAUCUUCAGGUCGGGGACAACAGUUAGAAAUGACUGCUAAUACCGGAUGUGCCGAAAGGUAAAAGAUUUAUUGCCUGAAAAAGAGCUCGCGUCAGAUUAGCUAGUAGGUGGUGUAAGAGACUACCUAGGCUUCGAUCUGUAGCUGGUCUGAGAGGACGAUCAGCCACACUGGAACUGAGACACGGUCCAGACUCCUACGGGAGGCAGCAGUGGGGAAAUUUCCGCAAUGGGCGAAAGCCUGACGGAGCAAUACCGCGUGAGGGACGAAGGCUCUUGGGUCGUAAACCUCUUUUCUCAAGGAAGAUUCAGACGGUACUUGAGGAAUAAGCAUCGGCUAACUCUGUG
rnacentral:rRNA from 1 species